AACGUUGCUUGUAUCUAACAAACCUUACACUAAGGUUCAAAAAGAACGAAAGUAAAUCAACACACUCUUAAAUAGCAUGCUAACCUAAUGUAAACUAAAGAUCUUUUGCAUUUUCAUUCUGUGCGCGCUCAACAUACCAAUCCAAUCAUACAUGUUUCACUAGUUCACGAUCAAUUAAUAAUUCACAGUUGAACCAAAUCAGCCAUAGGUCUGAUUCACAGUUGAACCAAUAGUCUAUUCCGAGAUUAAUAAUUCUACUGCACUCAAGUAUAUAGAAAUUGGAAUAAAAUGUAAAGUUAAAAGUAAAAUGUAAAGUUAAAAGUAAUGCUUAAGGGCCCUAAAACACAAUUAUACCAUGAAGAAUGAACACAACAACUUUGAAGAUAGCGUCAUAGUUUUCUGCUCAAAACAUUGAAACCAGGUACAAA